rnacentral:rRNA from 1 species
UACGUAGGGUGCAAGCGUUGUCCGGAAUUAUUGGGCGUAAAGAGCUCGUAGGCGGUCUGUUGCGUCGGCUGUGAAAACCCGGGGCUCAACUCCGGGCCUGCAGCCGAUACGGGCAGACUAGAGUUCGGCAGGGGAGACUGGAAUUCCUGGUGUAGCGGUGAAAUGCGCAGAUAUCAGGAGGAACACCGGUGGCGAAGGCGGGUCUCUGGUACGUGACUGACGCUGAGACGCGAAAGCGUGGGGAGCAAACAGG